rnacentral:rRNA from 1 species
GACGAACGCUGGCGGCGUGCCUAAUACAUGCAAGUCGAGCGCAGGAAACUGACGGAACUCUUCGGAGGGAAGGCAGUGGAAUGAGCGGCGGACGGGUGAGUAACACGUAAGGAACCUGCCUCAAGGAUUGGGAUAACUCCGAGAGAUCGGAGCUAAUACCGGAUAGGUCAACGGACCGCAUGGUCCGCUGAUGAAAGGCGCUCCGGCGUCACCUUGAGAUGGCCUUGCGGUGCAUUAGCUAGUUGGUGGGGUAACGGCUCACCAAGGCGACGAUGCAUAGCCGACCUGAGAGGGUGAUCGGCCACACUGGGACUGAGACACGGCCCAGACUCCUACGGGAGGCAGCAGUAGGGAAUCUUCCACAAUGGACGAAAGUCUGAUGGAGCAACGCCGCGUGAGUGAUGAAGGUUUUCGGAUCGUAAAACUCUGCUGUAAGGGAAGAACACGUACGAGAGGAAAUGCUCGUACCUUGACGGUACCUUACGAGAAAGCCACGGCUAACUACGUGCCAGCCGCCGCCGUCA